AAAACAUCACCUCUAGCAUUACUAGUAUUAGAGGCACUGCCUGCCCAGUGACAAUCUGUUAAACGGCCGCGGUAUCCUGACCGUGCAAAGGUAGCAUAAUCAUUUGUUCCUUAAAUAGGGACUUGUAUGAAUGGCCACACGAGGGUUUAACUGUCUCUUAUUUCUAAUCAGUGAAAUUGACCUUUCCGUGAAGAGGCGGAAAUAUCUUAAUAAGACGAGAAGACCCUAUGGAGCUUUAAUUGACUUAAUCCAACAGAACAAAACUCAACUCCGCCAAGGACUAACAAAUAUUCUAACUGGAUUAUAAAUUUCGGUUGGGGUGACCUCGGAGCACAAAACAACCUCCGAGAAGUAUCUACUAAGACCCACUAGUCAAAGUAAACUUCACAAAUUGAUCCAGUCUUACUGAUCAACGGAACAAGUUACCCUAGGGAUAACAGCGCAAUCCUAUUCUAGAGUCCCUAUCGACAAUAGGGUUUACGACCCUCGAUGUUGGAUCAGGACAUCCCAAUGGUGCAGCAGCUAUUAAUGGUUCGUUUGUUCAACGAUUAAAGUCCUACAUGA
rnacentral:rRNA from 1 species